rnacentral:rRNA from 1 species
UACGUAGGGGGCUAGCGUUGUCCGGAAUCAUUGGGUGUAAAGCGCGUGUAGGCGGUCCGGUAAGUCCGCUGUGAAAGUCGAGGGCUCAACCCUCGAAUGCCGGUGGAUACUGUCGGGCUUGAGUACGGGAGAGGCGAGUGGAAUUCCUGGUGUAGCGGUGAAAUGCGCAGAUAUCAGGAGGAACACCGAUUGCGAAGGCAGCUCGCUGGAACGUUACUGACGCUGAGACGCGAAAGCGUGGGGAGCAGACAGG